rnacentral:rRNA from 1 species
UACGAAGGGGGCUAGCGUUGCUCGGAAUCACUGGGCGUAAAGCGCACGUAGGCGGACUCUUAAGUCGGUGGUGAAAUCCUGGAGCUCAACUCCAGAACUGCCUUCGAUACUGGGAGUCUUGGAGUCCGGGGGAGGUGAGUGGAACUGCGAGUGUAGAGGUGAAAUUCGUAGAUAUUCGGAAGAACACCAGUGGCGGAGGCGG